GGCCCACUAUUUGCUGAAGCCUCCUCACCAGGGCUAUCAACGUCGACAGCCCGCAAAACCUCACGACAAAGGCGCCGU
rnacentral:ncRNA from 1 species